UGGUUGUCCUCUCUAAUGCCAUGUUAUGUCUCAUAGCCGAUUAACAAGGCCUCGCUUGUGGACUAUAAAAUAUAAUGGUUCUAUUAUCCUAGCACCUGAUGUGAUUGAUAAAAUUUGUGUGCUCGAGAAACGUAGAUCUAUAAUU
rnacentral:snoRNA from 2 species